rnacentral:rRNA from 1 species
UACGGAGGAUCCAAGCGUUAUCCGGAUUUAUUGGGUUUAAAGGGUGCGUAGGCGGACUCAUAAGUCAGUGGUGAAAGUUUGCAGCUUAACUGUAAAAUUGCCAUUGAAACUGUUGGUCUUGAGUGCAAGUGAGGUAAGCGGAAUGUGUUGUGUAGCGGUGAAAUGCUUAGAUAUGACACAGAACACCAAUUGCGAAGGCAGCUUACUAAUAUGUAACUGACGCUGAGGCACGAAAGCGUGGGGAGCAAACAGG